rnacentral:rRNA from 1 species
AGCAGCCGCGGUAAUUCCAGCUCCAAUAGCGUAUAUUAAAGUUGUUGCAGUUAAAAAGCUCGUAGUUGAAUUUCGGGAUCAGUAGGUUGGUCGUGCCAACGGUAUGCACUGGCCUCACUGGUUCCUCCUUCUUGUAGAACCGUAAUGCCAUUAAGUUGGUGUUGCGGGGAAACAGGACUGUUACUUUGAAAAAAUUAGAGUGUUUAAAGCAGGCUAACGCUUGAAUACAUUAGCAUGGAAUAAUGAAAUAGGACGAACGAUCCUAUUUUGUUGGUUUCUAGGAUUGACGUAAUGAUUAAUAGGGAUAGUUGGGGGCAUUAGUAUUCAAUUGUCAGAGGUGAAAUUCUUGGAUUUAU